CUACGGGGUGCAGCAGUGGGGAAUAUUGCACAAUGGGCGCGAGCCUGAUGCAGCCAUGCCGCGUGUAUGAAGAAGGCCUUCGGGUUGUAAAAUACUUUCAGCGGGGAGGAAGGGAGUAAAGUUAAUACCUUUGCUCAUUGACGUUACCCGCAGAAGAAGCACCGGCUAAGUCCGUGCCAGCAGCCGCGGUAAUACGGAGGGUGCAAGCGUUAAUCGGAAUUACUGGGCGUAAAGCGCACGCAGGCGGUUUGUUAAGUCAGAUGUGAAAUCCCCGGGCUCAACCUGGGAACUGCAUCUGAUACUGGCAAGCUUGAGUCUCGUAGAGGGGGGUAGAAUUCCAGGUGUAGCGGUGAAAUGCGUAGAGAUCUGGAGGAAUACCGGUGGCGAAGGCGGCCCCCUGGACGAAGACUGACGCUCAGGUGCGAAAGCGUGGGGAGCAAACAGGAUUAGAUACCCGGGUAGUC
rnacentral:rRNA from 1 species